GGGUUAGAGACCAGUGUUUGCUCACAACACAUGGUUGCUCCACUGAGCAUUCCUACAGGCACAGAGGGAAAAGUCGUUGCAUCUCUAAAGCUCAAUCUGCCGAAAAUAUAUAUUCUGUGAACUCAUGCCAUGGCCUUGGAGAGAAGGCAAGCACUGGAAAUGAACUCAAGGUCAGAGCUGAACGUGAACCUGAAACAUAGCACGGCAAGGCUUUGCAGAGGGCUGGGGUGACCCGUGAGGUCGGAAAUACUCAAGUCCUGUGAGUGAGGUCGCAGACGGAAAGCUGGGGUGCAGUCAGUGGCUCUCAAUCUCCUGCUUGAUUUCAGAGAUGUACGGAUGGUCCUUGCCGUGAGCUACCUCCAUGAUGGCAAUGGCCUAGGGCAGAGCAAAGGACAUGGGGCGGAUGAGCGCGACAUCUGACAUCGCUGCUGCCUGUCCCACAGUCCCAGCCCAGCAGGGGUGCAUGCUGCCCGUCAGUGCUUCAGAGCCUGGCAGGCAAACCACCUCUCACAGGCUCCUCCUCACCCUGCAAAGACACUCGUAGGAGACAAAGAAG
rnacentral:lncRNA from 1 species